CUAAGCUGUUAAAGGAAACCUUUCCUUACGAUGCACUAAGCCCCACCUCGAGCCUCUGUUGCUGUCUUCUGUUCUAGGGGCAGCAACGCUCAAAUGACUGGUUUCCUCUUAUUGAGAAACACAGCAGGAUGAAUAAUAGAAGAUCCUGGAUAAAGCUGUGCUAGGAAACAAGGAACGGCAAAGACCCAGCGAUAAGAGCAACCCACCAACUGCCAGGCCACGGAAGGCGAGAAUGCGACGCUGCCCUCUGGAGCCCCCAAAGAGGCAACCCAAUCUGUGGUUGACAGCAAUGGGCAAUGAGAAGACAUCGCUUUACGUGGUUGAGUCUGAAUCAACCCCAGUAGGAAGGGCUGUUGGCUAUUUGACCACAGUGGUUUUUCUAUGGUGAACAAAAACUAGAAUAAUGUGGAAAAUGCCAAUGAGAAGAAAUCCAGAAAAAGCUACAGACGGAACUUUUGACUUCGGAGAAGAAUGUUGGGAAUUGCCAGCAACAUAUCUGGGAAAUGGGCCACCUGGUUUUGACGCCUCAGACACAACAAAUGCUUGGGAGGACUUAGACUGGCCGACCUAAACCAGAACCAGACCGUUCACACGGGAACCAGCCUGGCUGCCGCUCCUGUGAGCUGCACUGGCUUGCGGCAGCGGCAGGGAAACAUUCUGCAGAGCUGAGUGAGGGCUCAGAGGAAACUUCACGAUGGUCAGGAAUGUACUGUUCUUUGAGCUAUUUCCUUUAACAACUUGGAAGAAAUAAUAAUUAAUAUAAACAGUAGUCACCAGAUUUGGACUUACUGCAGGAGAAAUAAGAGAACACGAUUUGCAAAGAUUCAGGUUCAAGGCAGAGUUCUUUCUCUACUGUCCUGGGGGGAUGGAGCGAAGUCAGCAAAACUCUCUGAGCCUCAGUUUCCCCUUCUGCCACAUUAGCAGAUACCUGCCUUGUAGGGCAGUAAUAGACUCAGGUGCCCCACAAGCAUAGAAAUCACACCAUGGGCUUCCUUACUAUUCUUAUUAGUUCUAUAAUCUGCAAACUAGGUGGUCCUCAAUAAAUGAGAAGAAAGUCACAAAGAGUUUAAUUCAUUAAAUUUAUCAUAUUUUCAAGAAACAUUAAAAUCCUUCCAGAAUAUACAAAAAAGAUGAAAAAAACACCAUG